rnacentral:lncRNA from 1 species
GGUUGGUAAUAAGAUUACAAGGUAAUAAAGAAUUCCUUUCAUUAUUGAAAAAAGUACAAUUAAAUAAACAAUGAUAUUCAUCCCCAUAGUUGGUUUUUGUUACAUAUGUCACAAAUUCUGUCGUCACGUUCUAUACCCCAAAAGCGAUCCCUUUCAAUAGGGAGUCGAUGAUUUAGACAUCUAAAAUUGCAUAAGGCUUUUUUC